GCCGGGAUGGCCCAACCUGGUAUAACGCGAAAUCGCGAAGCAAUUUCGCGGAUUUCCCUACAGGAAAAGGCGAAGGAUUGCUAAUCCUUUUUCCCGCAAGGGAUUUCUGAGUAGCCCAGAAACAGAAAUGGUUUUGGGCGCAGAAUCAAAUCUCAGUCCCGGCG
rnacentral:tRNA from 1 species